CACGUGGGCAAUCUGCCCUUCGAUGGGGAAUAACCCCGGGAAACCGGGGCUAAUUCCGCAUAAUAUUCCGAUGACUAACGUCAAUGGAUUCAAAGCCGUAAGGCGUCGAAGGAGGAGCCCGCGCACGAUUAGCUAGUUGGUGAGGUAACGGCUCACCAAGGCUAUGAUCGUUAGCUGGUCUGAGAGGAUGGCCAGCCACACUGGAACUGAGACACGGUCCAG
rnacentral:rRNA from 1 species